AGCAAGUUGCUAGAGUGGCCUGCCACAGUGUAAGUUUUGUUCUUUAGCUCUUUGCAAUAAAUCUUGCUACUGCCCACUCUUUGGGUUUACACUGCAUUUAUGAGCUGUAACACUCAUGGUGAAGAUUUACAGGUUCAGUCCUGAAGCCAGCGAGACAAAGAACCCACUGGGAAGAACAAACAACUCCAGACGCCCCAACUUAAGAGCUGUUAACACCCGAAGAUCUGCAGCUUCACUUUUGAGCCAGCGAGACCACGAACCCACCAGAAGGAAGAAACUCUGAACAGGCUGGAACGUCAGAAGGAACAAACUCAGGACAUGCCACCUUUAAGAACUGUAACACUCACUGUGAGGGUCUGCGGCUUCAUUCUUGAAGGCUGUGAGACCAAGAACCCACCAAUUUCGGACACACUGGGACCACCCUCGCUGACUGGAGGUGGUACGGUUCAUCUGGACCA
rnacentral:lncRNA from 1 species